rnacentral:tRNA from 1 species
GCCGAGAUGGUGGAACUGGUAGACACACCAGCCUUAGGAGCUGGCCCUCGAAAGAGGAUGAGAGUUCGAGUCUCUCUCUCGGCACCA